rnacentral:rRNA from 1 species
UACGGGGGGAGCAAGCGUUGUUCGGAUUUACUGGGCGUAAAGGGCGCGUAGGCGGUCAGGACAAGUAAGUUGUGAAAUCUCCGGGCUUAACUCGGAAAGGUCAACUGAUACUGUGCGACUAGAGUGCAGAAGGGGCAACUGGAAUUCUCGGUGUAGCGGUGAAAUGCGUAGAUAUCGAGAGGAACACCUGCGGCGAAGGCGGGUUGCUGGGCUGACACUGACGCUGAUGCGCGAAAGCCAGGGGAGCGAACGGG